UACACUAAAUAAUUUUUUUAAUUUUUUUGUUCUAGUUUCCAUCCUUUUUUAAUGAACAAUAUACUGUUUUUGUUGAGCAUUAAUUUUUAAACAGUUGCUUGGUACAAUUUUCAAGAGUAUUUUUAAAAUUUUAGGUAAUCCUGAAAGUACAUCCAAGGCAGUUGAAAAGAAGCAUCCUGAGCUAUUGAAAAUAAAAAUAUAGUUUGAUGAGAGGAGUUUGAAAUGUUGUAUUAAUUACAGGAGGCCUAAAAGAAGACAAAAAGAAAAUUAAAAAAUUAAUUGUAUUAUCAUGAACAAGUGUGAUGGUGAAACAUUUUUGCUACAAUUAAGUUAUAAUCUGCAAAUCACGUUAAGAAUAAAAAUGUGACAG